ACGAAAGUCUGACGGAGCAACGCCGCGUGAGUGAAGAAGGUUUUCGGAUCGUAAAGCUCUGUCUUCAGGGACGAAUGUGCUUAAUGUGAAUAAUGUUAAGUAAUGACGGUACCUGAGGAGGAAGCCACGGCUAACUACGUGCCAGCAGCCGCGGUAAUACGUAGGUGGCAAGCGUUGUCCGGAAUUAUUGGGCGUAAAGCGCGCGCAGGCGGGAAUGUAAGUCUGUCUUAAAAGUUCGGGGCUCAACCCCGUGAUGGGAUGGAAACUACAUUUCUUGAGUGCAGGAGAGGAAAGUGGAAUUCCUAGUGUAGCGGCGAAAUGCGUAGAUAUUAGGAGGAACACCAGUGGCGAAGGCGACUUUCUGGACUGUGUCUGACGCUGAGGCGCGAAAGCCAGGGGAGUGAACGGGAUUAGAUACCCCGGUAAUCCUGGCCGUAAACGAUGGGUACUAGGUGUAGGAGGUAUCGACCCCUUCUGUGCCGGAGUUAACGCAAUAAGUACCCCGCCUGGGGAGU
rnacentral:rRNA from 1 species